rnacentral:rRNA from 1 species
GUAGGUGGCAAGCGUUGUCCGGAAUUAUUGGGCGUAAAGCGCGCGCAGGUGGUUCUUUAAGUCUGAUGUGAAACGCCCCCGGCUCAACCGGGGAGGGUCAUUGGAAACUGGGGAACUUGAGUGCAGGAGAGGAAAGUGGAAUUCCACGUGUAGCGGUGAAAUGCGUAGAUAUGUGGAGGAACACCAGUGGCGAAGGCGACUUUCUGGCCUGUAACUGACACUGAGGCGCGAAAGCGUGGGGAGCAAACAGGGAUUAGAUACCCUGGUAGUCCACGCCGUAAACGAUGAGUGCUAAGUGUUGGGGGGGUUUCCCGCCCCUCAGUGCUGCAGCUAACGCAUUAAGCACUCGCCUGGGGAUACGGUCGCAAGACUG